rnacentral:ncRNA from 1 species
GAGAGCACAGUACAAUGAAAGUUGUAAGCUAUGUUCGGGGGGGAAUUAUUGUCUAUCGUUGAGCUCUAUGGAGGCUCGAGAGGCGGUGGUUUACCUUGU